rnacentral:rRNA from 1 species
UACGGAGGGUGCAAACGUUGCUCGGAAUCAUUGGGCGUAAAGCGCACGUAGGCGGCCUGUUAAGUCGGAUGUGAAAGCCCCGGGCUCAACCCGGGAAGUGCAUACGAAACUGGCAGGCUUGAAUAUGGAAGAGGGUCGCGGAAUUCCCGGUGUAGAGGUGAAAUUCGUAGAUAUCGGGAGGAACACCGGUGGCGAAGGCGGGUCUCUGGGCCGAUACUGACGCUGAGGAGCGAAAGCGUGGGGAGCAAACAGG